rnacentral:rRNA from 1 species
CUUGGUCAUUUAGAGGAAGUAAAAGUCGUAACAAGGUUUCCGUAGGUGAACCUGCGGAAGGAUCAUUAAAGAACGCCCCGUUUUUUGAAAUGGGUAAUUCCCAAACCGUGUCUAUAUACCUUUGUUGCUUUGGCAGGUCGCCUUCUAGGAGGCGUCGGCUCCGGCUGACUGCGCCUGCCAGAGGACCCAAACUCGUUUUGUUUAGUGUCGUCUGAGUACUAUAUAAUAGUUAAAACUUUCAACAACGGAUCUCUUGGUUCUGGCAUCGAUGAAGAACGCAGCGAAAUGCGAUAAGUAAUGUGAAUUGCAGAAUUCAGUGAAUCAUCGAAUCUUUGAACGCACAUUGCGCCCCGUGGUAUUCCGCGGGGCAUGCCUGUUCGAGCGUCAUUUCAACCCAUCAAGCUUCGGCUUGGACUUGGGGCCUGCGGUUUCGCAGCCUCUAAACUCAGUGGCGGUGCUAUUGAGCUCUGAGCGUAGUAAUUUUUCUCGCUAUAGGGUCUCGGUAGUUACUUGCCAGUAACCCCCAAUUUUUAUCAGGUUGACCUCGGAUCAGGUAGGGAUACCCGCUGAACUUAAGCAUAUCAAUAAGCGGAGGA